CCUACGGGUGGCUGCAGUGGGGAAUAUUGGACAAUGGGCGAAAGCCUGAUCCAGCCAUGCCGCGUGUGUGAAGAAGGCCUUCGGGUUGUAAAGCACUUUCAGUGGGGAAGAAAGCCUUGGGGCUAAUACCCUCGAGGAAGGACAUCACCCACAGAAGAAGCACCGGCUAACUCCGUGCCAGCAGCCGCGGUAAUACGGAGGGUGCGAGCGUUAAUCGGAAUUACUGGGCGUAAAGCGCGCGUAGGCGGUCUGAUAAGCCGGUUGUGAAAGCCCCGGGCUCAACCUGGGAACGGCAUCCGGAACUGAGAGGCUAGAGUAGGGGAGAGGGUGGUGGAAUUCCCGGGGUAGCGGUGAAAUGCGUAGAGAGAGGGAGGAAAACCAGUGGAGAAGGCGGCUUCCUGGACUACCACUGACGCUGAGGUGCGAAAGCGUGGGAAGCAAACAGGAUUAGAUACCCCGGUAGUC
rnacentral:rRNA from 1 species